rnacentral:piRNA from 1 species
UGCCAAGAAAUGGGCCCUUGUUGCUACU